UAUAAUCACCAGAUAGCCUAUAUAGCAAUGCCUACAGAAAAAAGUGAAGGACAGUCAAGAAUAAGUAUUCUUACAGGCACUAUCUAAAUGGUAAAGGAAUAAGAGUGAACUCUUAAAGAAACUACAGAGAAUGGAUCUUCGAAAGUUUGAGCUGUAGAUGUGAGAAAAUUAUGAAUUAAUUUUAAUGUAGUGCCAGAAAAAUCACAAAUUUCUUAAAGAUGAAGAGAUGUGAGUUACUAGUUUAAGAUUUCACCCAAGCAAAGGAAUGAUUGUUCUCAGAGUUUGCCAAACUUUGAAGUAAAUGGCCAUUAGCCAGUAUCAAGCAUCACAUAUUUUAAACAGCAAAACCACAGGGAAAUUUGUUGAAAAAUAAAAAGGAAAAGAUAUGUUCAGUUGGUAAGAAAUAUUGCUGGAUAGGAGUAGCAUUUCUUUCCCACUCACUGUCCAUUAUCCCAAAUUUCACUAUAGUUCCAUGUGAAAAUAGCAUAUAAAUUGAAACAAGUCAUGAUGUGCAUUAAAUAUUGAUCAUUGCGUAUUUCUGUUCUGACAAUGAUGGGAUCUGUGCUGCUUGCCUGAGAUAGUUGAAUGAAAUCUUCAAAUACUGCAAAAGGUUG
rnacentral:misc_RNA from 1 species